GGGGUUGUAGCUCAGUGGUAGAGUGCUUGCCUUGCCCGCAUGAAGCACUGGGUUUGAUCCUCAACACCA
rnacentral:tRNA from 1 species